AGCGAACGCUGGCGGCAGGCUUAACACAUGCAAGUUGAGCGGGCGUAGCAAUACGUCAGCGGCAGACGGGUGAGUAACGCGUGGGAACGUACCUUUUGGUUCGGAACAACACAGGGAAACUUGUGCUAAUACCGGAUAAGCCCUUACGGGGAAAGAUUUAUCGCCGAAAGAUCGGCCCGCGUCUGAUUAGCUAGUUGGUAGGGUAAUGGCCUACCAAGGCGACGAUCAGUAGCUGGUCUGAGAGGAUGAUCAGCCACAUUGGGACGGAGACACGGCACAAAAUCCUCCGGGAGGCAGAAGUGGGGAAAAUUGGACAAUGGGGGCAACCCUGAGCCAGCCAUGCCGCGUGAGUGAUGAAGGCCCUAGGGUUGUAAAGCUCUUUUGUGCGGGAAGAUAAUGACGGUACCGCAAGAAUAAGCCCCGGCUAACUUCGUGCCAGCAGCCGCCGUAA
rnacentral:rRNA from 1 species